AGAGUUUGAUCAUGGCUCAGGAUGAACGCUAGCGACAGGCCUAACACAUGCAAGUCGAGGGGCAUCGGGACGUAGCAAUACGUUGCCGGCGACCGGCGGAUGGGUGAGUAACGCGUAUGCAACCUACCCGUAGCAGGGGGAUAGCCCGUUGAAAGACGGAUUAAUACCCCGUAACACAGGGGCUCCGCAUGGAGAUUAUUGUUAAAGGGUCAUUUCUUUUAGAGGUGGUCCGGCUGCGGAUGGGCAUGCGUUCCAUUAGGUAGUUGGUGUAGGUAACGGCUCACCAAGCCGACGAUGGAUAGGGGAACUGAGAGGUUGGUCCCCCACACUGGUACUGAGACACGGACCAGACUCCUACGGGAGGCAGCAGUGAGGAAUCUUGGUCAAUGGACGCAAGUCUGAACCAGCCAUGUCGCGUGAAGGAGGACGGCCCUAAGGGUUGUAAACUUCUUUUGCAGCGGAAUAAAGUUUGCCACGAGUUGGCGAUUUGCAAGUACGCUGCGAAUAAGGAUCGGCUAACUCCGUGCCAGCAGCCGCGGUAAU
rnacentral:rRNA from 1 species